rnacentral:misc_RNA from 1 species
AAGAAGAACUUUGUCGGGCUUCAUAAUCAUUUCAAUCUAUUAACUAUGGUCAACUACACAAUUUCCUUUGAAAGGCAUUGGACUGUAGCGUGAGUAUUUAACAAUAAAAUGGAGAUAGCAAAAGAUUUUACAUACUUUAGAAGAAGUGGUUUAAUUCGAUUGUUUUUGCUUUUGUUUUUCAGAUUCUAUCACUUUUGAUUCAAUUUCGUCCGAGGAUCGAGAGACUGACCACGCGGAAAGAAAGAACCCUGGAACAUUUUGCGAAUUCGAUGAUCGAAAAAAAACGGGGAACAUUGAUCAGUCCAAUCAUCACCGUCGUUUCAGCCGAGUAGGACAAAACUGAUUCAAGAUACAUGGACCAAACGUUAUACGAAGCUUACUCUUGAUGACGUACGUCGUAUGACUUAACUUGGUUACCAUGGCAACCAGCAAUGACGUCAGGUUUAACUACCUGCUAUUUUGGUGGCGGCCAUCUUGGAUCCGCCAUCUUGGAUUUUCGAAAUCUCAUUAUUCUAAAGCAAAACAGUGAAUUUUAAAUAAACUUUAACUAACGAA